UAAGGGCUGAAACUCAGCCUCUGGGGAGGCCCUGGAGUUCAUCACAGUCACUGAAAUGGCCAGCUUUUGAGGACUGGUUACAAUACUAUGCGGUUUGUCUCUCUGCUUAGAAUGAACAGACGAAACACAGUUCUUUUCGGGUUGAAAUGACUUGCAUUGUUGUACAGGUGGAGCAACAGACACAGGACGCAGGGCUAGUGGCUGCUGAAGAGGAGGCUGGACUGAGGGUGACUGAAAUAAUGGUUGGGACGACAAUGGUGGUGAAGUUGGAGACUGAGCUGAUGGUAAGGGAGAUGAUUCUUUUACCAACUGAGCUAUUGACUGGGCUAUGGAUUCUAACAUCGUUUGCAGUAAGUCUGGCUCUGGUAGUGACAGAGCUAUGGGUUGCGAGGCAGAACGUGAUGGAGGUGACGACUGAGCGGCUAACUGAGCUUGUGGCUGCCGUGCGGCUAACUGAGCUCCUAGAGGCUGGGCAGCUAAGUGAGCUCCUGGAGGCUGGGCAGCUAAGUGAGCUCCUGGAGGCUGGGCAGCUAAGUGAGCUACUAGAGGGUGGGCAGCUAAGUGAGCUCCUGGAGGGUGGGCAGCUAAGUGAGCUCCUGGAAACACAUUCUUAUAAUCGACAGUAGCAGGUGAGCCAGGGAAAACACCAUAGUCCUUACUGGCGGCACAGAAAACGGCGGGCCGGGCCGCAGAUUCCCCGGCGGGCAGAGCAAAACAUUCGCCGCCGGGCUGGGUUGGGAAGCGGUAGCGGUUGAAGGGUGAAGGUGAAGCUCGUUCAGAAUGAAGUCCUGUGCGAGCGGAUGAAGAGAGUCCAGUAGCCAGGGGUGAGCAGAGAUUAAGUGCUGUAGCCUGGCUUCUACAGCGCGGUGAAAUUCCUCUCCCUCAUGUUCGAGCCACAGAUUGACCAAUCGUGAGACAGAGUCAAUUACCUCCUCCCGAAACUCCUGGGAGGGCGCGGAUGCUGCUGGGUCCAUGUUUGGUCGGCUCGUACUGUCACGGCUGGGGCAGCAGUCGUGUUGUGGAAUGAAAGGAGGACCCAAAAUGCAGGCAGCCGACUGAUGAUGUGAGUGAGUUUAUUUACACAGUGGCAGGGUGACAAAAACGGGCAAUAAAGUAUGAGCAGCUACUAAAGCAGACCUAAACUGGGAUAAACUAAAGAGCAAACCUGAAGUAAUACGAAACGGAGAAUGCAGAGAGACACAGAGAGACGCUGAUGAACGCAGAGGUACACAGAGAUACACAGACGAGCCGACGCCAGGCACAGACUGACACCCACUAUAUAUACACACACAAACAAGGAGACCAGGUAAUGACAUACAGGUGGGAGCACAGCUGAUUCUAAUACACAAGACGACCUGAGGAUACAAGCUGAACACGAUAACAGACACAGACCUUCAGAACAGAACAGGAAAUCCAGAACACGAGCCUUCAAAGUAAAACAGGAAACCUACAGACUGUUUUACAAUACGAGGACAUGACAGAGCACCGAGGACAGACACAGGUAGGGCUGAUAAAACACUGAGCUCCAGAUUCAACCCUAAACUACUACAAAAUCAGAAUAAACACAAGGCACAAAGUGAACUCCAAGGAAACACAAAACGCUGGGUCAAAAUGACCCAGGAUCAUGACAUUCUCAGCCUGUAGGGGAAAGUAAGGGGGUGAAUAAAUUGUCCUAUCUGCCCAGCCAUAGCUGGACUGGCCAUCGGGCAUACCGGGCAUUUGCCCGGUGGGCCGAUGGUGAUUUUUCGUUUUUAUUGGCCGAUGGGGUUUUUUUUUUUUUUCGUUUUUUCCCGUAACGGUAUAGACACUGAAAGGUGGUGGAUUGGCCAGAUGCUGGGAGAUGUGUAAAAAUAACUCAAUUGUUUGGUGGUGGCUAUGGGGGAGCUUCCACAGAUUCAGUAACAUU
ensembl:lncRNA